AUUAAGAUGUCUGAUUUAAGUAAUAAAUUGUAAAUUUAUUUAAAGGUUAAAGUAAAACCUUCUUAAUA
rnacentral:tRNA from 1 species